rnacentral:rRNA from 1 species
GUCCGCGCCGUAAACGGUGGGCGCUAGUUGUGGGGACCUUCCACGGUUUCUGCGACGCAGCUAACGCAUUAAGCGCCCCGCCUGGGGAGUACGAUCGCAAGAUUAAAACUCAAAGGAAUUGACGGGGCCCCGCACAAGCAGCGGAGCAUGCGGCUUAAUUCGACGCAACGCGAAGAACCUUACCAAGGCUUGACAUAUAGGGAAAAGCAGCAGAGAUGUUGUGUCCGCAAGGGCUCUAUACAGGUGGUGCAUGGUUGUCGU